rnacentral:rRNA from 1 species
GGUGAGUAACACGUGGAUAACCUACCUAUAAGACUGGGAUAACUUCGGGAAACCGGAGCUAAUACCGGAUAAUAUUUUGAACCGCAUGGUUCAAAAGUGAAAGACGGUCUUGCUGUCACUUAUAGAUGGAUCCGCGCUGCAUUAGCCAGUUGGUAAGGUAACGGCUUACCAAGGCAACGAUGCAUAGCCGACCUGAGAGGGUGAUCGGCCACACUGGAACUGAGACACGGUCCAG